AAACUACUUUUAAACGUAAUUUAUUUUGCUGUAGUAAAUUAAAUUUAUUAUUAUUAAUAAUAAUAAUAAUAAUAAUAAUAAUAAUAAUAAUAAUAAUAAUAAUAAUAAUUAAAGCCGCGAGCGGCGUCAUAGGUUCCGAUGAAGCGGCCGGGGACGGUAACCCACGGUCACGUAUACCACUGUUGGGGAUUUGGGAAUUGGCCUGGAGUUGUAAGCGUUUUCGUAUAACGGCGUAGUUAUGGCGAGGGAUUUUCCUGUGUCAUGAUAGGCCCCUCCCACUUUUCACAACCUGCUCUAUUUGCCAUAGCAAUGUGCUUCCAUCUAAUAAGAUUCAUCCUACAGUGUUUUGAAGUCACCACGACAUAUCGUCUGUCCGCUACAGCUGCUCGUGUAGGACGACCACAGAAGCGGCGCCCUCUGAGAACGCAAGGCAUUAUGGGAAUUUGCUCCCCUCUGUGUAGGUUCAUCCUACAGUGUUUUGAAGUCAACACGACAUAUCGUCUGUCCGCUACAGCUGCUCGUGUUGGACGACCACAGAAGCGGCGCCCUCUGAGAACGCAAGGCAUUGUGGGUAAAUUGGUUAUCGUUUGUUGUUUGGGGCUGUACGGUCAUCAUGUCUAUCAAAUAUGAAGCACUUUGAACUUUGCAUUCUGGAGUUGUAAGCGUUUUCGUAUAACGGCGUAGUUAUGGCGAUGGAUUUUCCUGUGUCAUGAUAGGCCCCUCCCACUUUUCACAGCCUGCUCUUUUUGCCAUAGCAAUGUGCUUCCAUCUAAUAAGAUUCAUCCUACAGUGUUUUGAAGUCAACACGACAUAUUGUCUGUCCGCUACAGCUGCUCGUGUAGGACGACCACAGUGGCGGCGCCCUCUGAGAACGCAAGGCAUUGUGGGUAAAUUGGUUAUCGUUUGUUGUUUAGCUCUGGACAGUGAUCGUAUGUAUCAAAUAUGAAGCAGUUUGAACUUUGCACUCUAGAGUUAUAAGCGUUUUCGUAUAUAUGGCGUUGUUAUGGCGAGGGAUUUUCGUGUGUCAUUAUAAGCCCCUCCCACUGACCACAGUCUGUUGUUCCUUCAAUAGGAAUUUGCUCCCCUCUGUGUAGGUUCAUCCUACAGUGUUUUGAAGUCAACACGACAUAUCGUUUGUCCGCUACAGCUGCUCGUGUUGGACGACCACAGAGGGCGAAGAAUUUUUCAGUGAUAUUUUAGGCCCCUCCCACUGACCACAGUCUGUUGUUUCUUCAAUAGGAAUUUGCUCCCCUCUGUGUAGGUUCAUCGUACAGUGUUUUGAAGUCAACACGACAUAUCGUCUGUCCGCUACAGCUGCUCGUGUUGGACGACCACAGAAGCGGCGCCCUCUGAGAACGCAAGGCAUUGUGGGUAAAUUGGUUAUCGUUUGUUGUUUAGCUCUGGACAGUGAUUGUAUGUAUCAAAUAUGAAGCAGUUUGAACUUUGCACUCUAGAGUUAUAAGCGUUUUCGUAUAUAUGGCGUUGUUAUGGCGAGGGAUUUUCGUGUGUCAUUAUAAGCCCCUCCCACUGACCACAGUCUGUUGUUUCUUCAAUAGGAAUUUGCUCCCCUCUGUGUAGGUUCAUCCUACAGUGUUUUGAAGUCAACACGACAUAUCGUCUGUCCGCUACAGCUGCUCGUGUUGGACGACCACAGAAGCGGCGCCCUCUGAGAACGCAAGGCAUUGUGGGUAAAUUGGUUAUCGUUUGUUGUUUAGCUCUGGACAGUGAUCGUGUGUAUCAAAAAUGAAGCAGUUUGAACAUUGCAUUCUAGAGUUAUAAGCUUUUUCCUAGAACGGCGUCCUGUUGAUGCUAACCGUGUACAUGACCUUAAAUGACACCGGUCGAAAACACAAGGCAUGAUGGGAAAUGUUUCAAAGCAGUCAUGACCAAGCUUGGGCACAUGUCCUUUGUGUGAAAUUUGAAGCUGAUCGAAGUUUGUGUGUCAGAGUUAUGGAGAUUUGGAAUUUUUUGCGUGCUAACGAAAAUUAGCAUUACAUUUUUGUGGCGGCGCCACGACCAAACCGUGACAGAUACGAAAAUUCUUUUGAUAACUUUUCAUCUUCAAUGGGUCCUAUGUGGUGUUGCCAAGUUUUAAGCGAAUCGGAUGAAUCCCCUCAGACUAGUUCGCGCAGAUGCGUUUCGAGGGCGAAACGCCAUUUUUGACCUUUGACCCAAGAUGGCUGACUUCCUGUUUGGUUUUGGGCGGGGUCACAAUGUAACUUUUUGCUCAUUCUAGGGCGAAGACUACAUGUGGCGAUUUUCGUGCAAAUCGGUCAAACCUGGCGGUCGUGCGGUUCCAUCGUUUUUUUGGCGGCGAAAACGCACGCUACGCGUGCGUUUUCUGUCCGUUUUUUUUCACGCCACCAAAUUAUCAAAUUUUUCGCCAGGCCUGAGGUGCGUGCAAAUUUCGGUGAGUUUUCGGGCAUUUUUAGGGGGUCGAAUUAGCGAUCAAAGGCGGGCGGGGUAUAAUAAUAAAACGAUAUAAUAGCGAAAACA
ensembl:lncRNA